rnacentral:rRNA from 1 species
GAUGAACGCUGGCGGCGUGCCUAAUACAUGCAAGUCGAGCGAACGGACGAGAAGCUUGCUUUUCUGAUGUUAGCGGCGGACGGGUGAGUAACACGUGGAUAACCUGCCUAUAAGACUGGGAUAACUUCGGGAAACCGGAGCUAAUACCGGAUAAUAUUUUGAACCGCAUGGUUCAAAAGUGAAAGACGGUCUUGCUGUCACUUAUAGAUGGAUCCGCGCUGCAUUAGCUAGUUGGUAAGGUAACGGCUUACCAAGGCAACGAUGCAUAGCCGACCUGAGAGGGUGAUCGGCCACACUGGAACUGAGACACGGUCCAGACUCCUACGGGAGGCAGCAGUAGGGAAUCUUCCGCAAUGGGCGAAAGCCUGACGGAGCAACGCCGCGUGAGUGAUGAAGGUCUUCGGAUCGUAAAACUCUGUUAUUAGGGAAGAACAUAUGUGUAAGUAACUGUGCACAUCUUGGCGGUACCUAAUCAGAAAGCCACGGCUAACUACGUG